rnacentral:lncRNA from 1 species
AAGGUGUCUUCUUCCCCUCCGGAUUUCAGACGAUGGUUUGCUGCGGUGAACUUGGAUGGUUAGUUGUUGUUCUUGAGGCUAUCUGUUUUUGGGAUUCUGAGAUACGUUUAUUUUUCUUUUUUCUUCCCCCUUGUUAAAUUUUUUGUACUCUGUUUUUACUUUGGGUACUGCUGGUACCUCAUUAUAUAUAUCUAAUCUCUUUUGCCUGAUCAAAAAAAAA